rnacentral:rRNA from 1 species
AACGAACGCUGGCGGCAUGCUUAACACAUGCAAGUCGAACGAAGUACCUGGUUUCGGCCGGGAUACUUAGUGGCAGACGGGUGAGUAACGCGUGGGAAUCUGCCUGGUAGUGGGGAAUAACUAUGGGAAACUAUAGCUAAUACCGCAUACGCCCUUAGGGGGAAAGGCUUCGGCCGCUAUCAGAGGAGCCCGCGUCAGAUUAGGUAGUUGGUAGGGUAAAGGCCUACCAAGCCGAUGAUCUGUAGCUGGUUUGAGAGGAUGAUCAGCCACACUGGAA